UACGUAGGGGCCUAGCGUUGUCCGGAAUUAUUGGGCGUAAAGAGCUCGUAGGCGGUUCGGCAAGUCGGAUGUGAAAUCUCCACGCUUAACGUGGAGGGGCCAUUCGAAACUGCUGUGACUCGAGUCCGGUAGGGGAGUGUGGAAUUCCCGGUGUAGCGGUGAAAUGCGCAGAUAUCAGGAGGAACACCGGUGGCGAAGGCGGGUCUCUGGGCAGUAACUGACGCUGAGAAGCGAAAGCGUGGGUAGCGAACAGG
rnacentral:rRNA from 1 species